GUUUUUUGUGGUGUAAAUACAGCAUUUCUGCCUUCCAAGCAGAGGGUCUUUUAGAAGCG
rnacentral:tRNA from 1 species